rnacentral:ncRNA from 1 species
CGCGCCUACGCUGUCUACGCAUCCGCGCAGUCUGUACACCAGCCGCCCGCACCGACACGGGGCGGCACGGACCUAAGGAGG